rnacentral:rRNA from 1 species
GCUCCUACCGAUUUCGAGUGAUCCGGUGAACCUUUUGGACUGCGCGAGGCCCCGAGCCUUGUGCGGAAAAUCAAGUAAACCAUAUCACUUAGAGGAAGGAGAAGUCGUAACAAGGUUUCCGUAGGUGAACCUGCGGAAGGAUCAUUA